GCUUUAGAGAUUUUUAAAGAGUUUUUGAGAAGUCACAAAGUGAGGGCCGAGAGUAUGCUCAGAUGAUUCAGUGAUUAAUUCAUUUUCAGUUUUCAGGUACCGAGGAUAAGCUUGGACUGCUAGUUGCGGGAUUAGGUGGAAGAGUAGGAGUUGAGGAAUUAAUUUAUUUAUUUUGAGAGAUGUUGUAUUCAUUUUUGUGGAAUUGAUUCUGCUUCAAUAAAAUGGUAUUUUCUUUUAAGAUCUUGGGUGUAAAUUGAAGUAUUUUGAUUUGAAAAAAUCGAGGAUUUUAUUCAGAAAAAAUUCGGGGCGUUACAGAAUGGUAUCAAAGCCUGUACCCAGCCGGAAGUGUGAGUGUAGUGAUGUUGUAGCUAGACGGGUGUGAGUGGGCGAGUGUUUAAUUCUGAUUUGCUACCGCUCGUAGCCUAGUGUGUGUGGGCGGGUGUCGUUCACUGAUAGCUACUGGGAUGGUCAAUAAUUGUGAUUCAGCAUGUGGUAUUGCCUUUUUUAUUAUUGGUCUUAUUUUGUGGGUAGGUGACGGCAUCGACUAGCUACCACAAUGGUUACAGAGUGUGUGGGCGGGUAACUAGCACUGUCAGCUACCACAACGUUUUGUAUGUCACAGUAUCUCGCAUCGCCUGGAGUAAGGAUUUUUGGAUUUUGUUUUGCCACUUUUGAGGUUUUCGGGUAUGCGAAAAUUGUUGGGCCUGAAUUUCGGGAUGAAAUUCUUUUUAAGUGGUGGAGAAUGUGACAAUCCGAAUUUUUUUAGAGUUUUAAUUAUAUUUAUUUCAUUAUUAUUUUUGUAUCAUUAGAGACUUUCCAAUUGAAGAUUGAAUUUUAAUUUUUAUUGGAGACUUACUCAAUUGGAGGUUGAGCUAUGAUGUUCAAUUUAUAAAAAAAUUGAUUUUUGGGUUAUUAGUAUUUUGUGCCUUUUGGAUUUGCUUUUAAUAAAUUAGUUUUAUUUUUAUUAAGUUAAUGGAUUUUUGGUGAUGGCGAAAUGAAGAAGGAAUGGAAAUGGGUAUCUGAUUAAAUUAUUAAUUUUUAUUUUGAGAUUAGUAAAGGAGUAGUUUGGUUAUUUUAUGUAUAUUGUAUAUACAUUGGUGAUGGAAGGAAGACAAAUAUAAAUAUAAUGGAUGGAGAUAAGAGGAUGGCAGGUGCCAAAUUGAAGGAAGAGAAAUGGGUUUUGUUUUGGAAAGUUUUGGUUGCAUUAUAUAUAUAUAUAUAUAUAUAUAUAUAUGGCAUCAGAUGAAGAAGCAAAUGGGCUUGGCCGAAAUAAAAGAGAAAGAAAAAAAGAAAAAGAAAAGAAUAAAUGGUGAUGUGCUAGUGGGACCCACUUAAGAUAUUAUGGGGUUGAAAUGGUUUAGUUGCAUAUUAUGCAUAUAUAUAUAUAUAUUACAUAUAUAUUUUUAUUAUGUCUGAUAGAAAUGUGGUUGACGAAAAUUUGUGGGAAAAGUAAUGAAAUGGUGAUGUGAAGUGGCGGGACCCACUUAUUGAUUUGUUUUGCAACUUUCUUUGACUUUAGGGCCUUGUUUACAGAAUAAGAUUGUGAUUGUGUGCGGUAUGUGUGAUGAUACAGAUGAAUUAAAGAUAAGGGAGCAGCGAUGUGGUGGGUUGCCGAAAGUAAGAAAGAAAUGAUUGUAAUGAUAAAAGUGUGGGUUCCACUUGAGAACUAAUUGUUUGAUAUUUUUGGUGAGCUGUUUGCACUUUGUCGGCACAAAUUGUCUAUUUAUUGGGUGUUUGUUGUGCAAUGAGGUAUUCAAAGACAAUAUUAGAGUAUUAGAGAUUUUUAGAGAGUUUUUGAGAAGUCACAAGGUGAGGGCCGAGAGUAUGCUCAGAUAAUUCAGUGAUUAAUUCAUUUUCAGUUUUCAGGUACUGAGGAUAAGCUUGGAUUGCUAGUUGCGGGAUUAGGUGGAAGAGUAGGAGUUGAGGAAUUAAUUUAUUUAUUUUGAGAGAUGUUGUAUUCAUUUUUUUGGCAUUGAUUCUGCUUUAAUAAAAUGGUAUUUUCUUUUGA